UUAAUGGAGAGUUUGAUCCUGGCUCAGGACGAACGCUGGCGGCGUGCCUAAUACAUGCAAGUCGAGCGGAUCUGUUCCUUCGGGGAUAGGUUAGCGGCGGACGGGUGAGUAACACGUAGGCAACCUGCCUGUAAGAUCGGGAUAACUACCGGAAACGGUAGCUAAGACCGGAUAGCUGGUUU
rnacentral:ncRNA from 1 species